UGGGGAAUUUUGGACAAUGGGCGAAAGCCUGAUCCAGCCAUGCCGCGUGAGUGAAGAAGGCCUUCGGGUUGUAAAGCUCUUUUAGUCGGAAAGAAAGAGUUGCAAUGAAUAAUUGUGAUUUAUGACGGUACCGACAGAAAAAGCACCGGCUAACUACGUGCCAGCAGCCGCGGUAAUACGUAGGGUGCGAGCGUUAAUCGGAAUUACUGGGCGUAAAGGGUGCGCAGGCGGUCUUGCAAGUCAGAUGUGAAAGCCCCGGGCUUAACCUGGGAAUUGCGUUUGAAACUACAAGGCUAGAGUGCAGCAGAGGGGAGUGGAAUUCCAUGUGUAGCAGUGAAAUGCGUAGAGAUGUGGAAGAACACCGAUGGCGAAGGCAGCUCCCUGGGUUGACACUGACGCUCAUGCACGAAAGCGUGGGGAUCAAACA
rnacentral:rRNA from 1 species